rnacentral:rRNA from 1 species
AGGGUGUAAACGCUGCGGGCUUGGUGUUGGGGGUCCUUAGUGGGCGCCCAGUGCCGGAGAGAAGUCGUUAAGCCUGCUGCUUGGGGAGUAUGUCCGCAAGGAUGAAACUUAAAGGAAUUGGCGGGGGAGCACCGCAACGGGAGGAGCGUGCGGUUCAAUUGGAUUCAACGCCGAAAAACUCAUCGGGAGCGACAGCAGUAUGAUUGCCAGGUUGAUGACCUUGCUUGACAAGCUGAGAGGUGGUGCAUGGCGUAGUCGUGU